CCCCACCCUUUUUUUACUUUGAAAAUAAAAAUUUUGAAAACGUGUGUUUGGGGUUUUCAAAAUCUUCCAUUUUUAUGUACGCUCCAACCGGAAAGUCCGACAAGGUAGCAACAACAGCCAAACCGAAGAUCCACUUUCUAAAUACGAAUUACAAAAAAAAAAAAAAUAAAAAAAAAAAAUAAAAUGUCAUUUUGUUGUCCUGUAUGUGCAAACUAAUUUUUACAUAUCUCUCUUAAUUCCAAAAGACCCUCAACCACAACAUGUUCACUUUCUGUCACAGAUGCGCUGGCGGAGUGGAGGGGUGUUUAUUUAUUUUUGAAAAGUUGAAGUUUUACAAAAUUUUUUUCAGAAUCAUAGUCUUUUCUACGUAUUUUUCUACGUAUUUCG